UGCUUAUUAGCUAGCCCAACCCCCACAAUUCAACCAACAAAUAUAACUUAAUCAGGAAGGCACCAAACAGAUAUUUAAUCAAACCAUUUUUCCCCCUAAGUCUAGGCGAUAAAAAAGGAAAUCCGGAGCAAUAGAAAAAGUACCGCAAGGGAAAGCUGAAAGAGAGAUGAAACAGCCCAGUUGAAGCUUAACAAAGCAGAGAUCAAAACUCGUACCUUUUGCAUCAUGAUUUAGCUAGAACCUUCAAGCAAAGAGAACUGGGAGUUUGAACCCCCGAAACUGGGUGAGCUACUCCAAGACAGCCUUUACUGUAGGGCAAACCCGUCUCUGUGGCAAAAGAGUGGGAAGAACUUUGAGUAGAAGUGACAGACUUACCGAACCCAGUAAUAGCUGGUUGCUCGUGAAUUGGAUAGAAGUUCAGCCCCCAACACUUUUUCCUUAGCCACAGUCACGGGUCACCCCGUAUUUAUUUUGGACAAAAAGAAAACUUGGGAGGUUAGUCAAAGGGGGUACAGCCCCUUUGAAACAAGAUACAACUUUUGCAGACGGAUAAAGAUCAUAUUUACCAAGGGUAAAUGUUCUAGUGGGCCUGAAAGCAGCCACCUUAAAUAACAGCGUUAAAGCUCAAACAUGAACCCCGCCCCCCAAUACCGAUACCACCUCUAAACCCCCUAACACCUAACGAGCCGCCCCAUGCGCACAUGGGGACGACCAUGCUAAUAUGAGUAAUAAGAGGGUAUUUAAAACUCUCUCCCUGCACGAGUGUAAGUCGGAUCGGACCUACCACCGAGCAUUAACGGCCCCAAUCAAAGAGGGCACUGGAAGUCUCCACCAACUGACUAGAAGAGCAUCCAGCAUACUCCCGUUACCCCUACACUGGUGUGCGUCCUGGGAAAGACUAACCGGGGAAGAAGGAACUCGGCAAAUAUACCUAAAGCCUCGCCUGUUUACCAAAAACAUCGCCUCUUGCAAACCGCAGUAUAAGAGGUCCUGCCUGCCCAGUGACAAAUUGUUCAACGGCCGCGGUAUUUUGACCGUGCUAAGGUAGCGUAAUCACUUGUCUUUUAAAUGAAGACCCGUAUGAAUGGCAAAACGAGGGCUUAACUGUCUCCUUUCCCAAGUCAAUGAAAUUGAUCUCCCCGUGCAGAAGCGGGGAUAACACCAUAAGACGAGAAGACCCUAUGGAGCUUUAGACAAACGACUGAACCGUAUUCCCUGGCCCCUUCUCACAGGAACUAAAUUUAAUGGACCCUCUUUCAAUGUCUUCGGUUGGGGCGACCAUGGGGAAAACAAAACCCCCAAGUGGAAUAGGGGUAACGAAAACGUCGAUUACACCCCUUAAGGUAGAGCGACAGCUCAACACAACAGAAAUUCUGACCAAAAUGAUCCGGACAUUCCGAUCAACGAACCAAGUUACCCUAGGGAUAACAGCGCAAUCCCCUUCUAGAGUCCAUAUCGACAAGGGGGUUUACGACCUCGAUGUUGGAUCAGGACAUCCUAAUGGUGCAGCCGCUAUUAAGGGUUCGUUUGUUCAACGAUUAACAGUCCUACGUGAUCUGAGUUCAGACCGGAGUAAUCCAGGUCAGUUUCUAUCUAUGUUACGGUCCUUCCCAGUACGAAAGGACCGGAAAGACGGGGCCCAUGUACUUGUUAAGCCCCUCCCUUACCUGAUGACAAAAUCUAAAUUAGACAAAAGGGCGUGCCGCUAGAGCCAAAGAUAAUGGUCC
rnacentral:rRNA from 1 species